GUUCGAUUAUGGCUCAGAUUGAACGCUGGCAGGAUGCUUUACGUACCAGGUGGGCAUGCCCGGACUGGUCACCGUGGCGGUGGCGAACGGGUGAGUAAUAUGUGGACGUUGCCUAGUAGCGGGGAUAACUACGCGAAAGCGUAGCUAAUACUACGCCCUUCGAGGAAAGCGGGGACCUUCCGGGCCCCGCACUAUUAAACGGCCGAUAUCGGAUUAGCUAGUUGGUGGGGGUAACGGCUCGCCAAAGGCGACGAUCCGUAGCUGGUUUGAGAGGACGACCAGCCACACUGGGACUGAGACACGGCCGAACUCCUACGGGAGGCAGCAGUGGGGAAUUUACCCGGACGUGGAAACCUGAUCCAGCCAUCCACGCGUGUGCGAUGAAGGCCUUCAGGUUGUAAAGCACUUUGGCAGGAAAGAAACGGCCAGGACAUACCCGUGCAACUGACAGUACCUGCAGAAUAGCACCGGCUAACUUACGUGCCAACGUACCGCGGUAAUGGCGAUUUAAGCGUUAAUCGGAAUUACUGGGCGUAAAGCGUGCGCAGGCGGUUCGGAAGAAAGAUGUGAAAUCCCAGGGAAAGCAACUUUGGAACUGCGUUUUAACUACAAACUAGAGUGUCGGAGGAGGUGGAAUUCCGCGUGUAGCAGUGAAAUGCGUAGAUGUGGAGGAACUGCCGAUAGCCGAAGAGCAGCCUCCUGGGAUAACACUGACGCUCAUGCACGAAAGCGUGGGAGCGACAGAGGGAUUAGAUACCCUGGUGAUCCACGCCUAAACGAUGUCAACUAGCUGUUGGGGCCUUCGGGCCUUGUGGCGCAAUAACGCUGUGGUUGACCGCCUGGGGAGAUGCAGUCGCAGAUUAAAACUCAAAGAUUGACGGGGACCCGCACAAGCGGUGGAUGAUGUGGAUUAAUUCGAUGCAACGCAGAAAAACCUUACCUACCCUUGACAUGUCUGGAAUCCCGAAGAUUUGGGAGUGCUCGCAAGAGAACCGGAACACAGGUUAACGCAUGGCUGUCGUCAGCUCGUGUCGUGAGAUGUUGGGUUAAGUCCGCAACGAGCGCAGCCCUUGUCAUUCAGUUGCUGCGAAGGGGCGCUAUUGAGACUGCCGGUGACAAACCGGAGGAAAGGUGGGGAUGACGUCAAGUCCUCAUGGCCCUUAUGGUGGGGCUUCACACGUCAUACAAUGGUCGGGACAGAGGUCGCCAACCCGCGAGGGGCCAAUCCCAGAAACCCGAUCGUAGUCCGGAUCACCAGUCUGCAACUCGGCUGCGCGUGAAGUCGAAUCCUUUAAUAAUCGCCGGAUCAGCAUCGCGGUGAAUACAUUCCAGGUCUUGUACACACCGCCCGUCACACCAUGGGGAGUGGGUUUUACCGAAGUAGUUAGCCUAACCGUAAGGGCGAUUACCACGGUAGGAUUCAUGACUGGGGUAGUCGUAACAGGUAG
rnacentral:rRNA from 1 species